rnacentral:rRNA from 1 species
UGGGGAAUUUUGGACAAUGGGCGAAAGCCUGAUCCAGCAAUGCCGCGUGUGUGAAGAAGGCCUUCGGGUUGUAAAGCACUUUUGUCCGGAAAGAAAUCCUUGGCUCUAAUACAGUCGGGGGAUGACGGUACCGGAAGAAUAAGCACCGGCUAACUACGUGCCAGCAGCCGCGGUAAUACGUAGGGUGCAAGCGUUAAUCGGAAUUACUGGGCGUAAAGCGUGCGCAGGCGGUUUGCUAAGACCGAUGUGAAAUCCCCGGGCUCAACCUGGGAACUGCAUUGGUGACUGGCAGGCUAGAGUAUGGCAGAGGGGGGUAGAAUUCCACGUGUAGCAGUGAAAUGCGUAGAGAUGUGGAGGAAUACCGAUGGCGAAGGCAGCCCCCUGGGCCAAUACUGACGCUCAUGCACGAAAGCGUGGGGAGCAAACAGGAUUAGAUACCCUGGUAGUCCACGCCCUAAACGAUGGUCAACUAGUUGUUGGGGAUUCAUUUCCUUAGUAACGUAGCUAACGCGUGAAGUUGACCGCCUGGGGGAGUACGGUCGCAAGAUUAAAACUCAAAUGAAUUGACGGGGUCAUAGCUGUUUCCU